GCAGGCUUAACACAUGCAAGUCGAGCGGGCAUAGCAAUAUGUCAGCGGCAGACGGGUGAGUAACGCGUGGGAACAUACCUUUUGGUUCGGAACAACACAGGGAAACUUGUGCUAAUACCGUAUAAGCCCUUACGGGGAAAGAUUUAUCGCCGAAAGAUUGGCCCGCGUCUGAUUAGCUAGUUGGUGAGGUAACGGCUCACCAAGGCGACGAUCAGUAGCUGGUCUGAGAGGAUGAUCAGCCACAUUGGGACUGAGACACGGCCCAAACUCCUACGGGAGGCAGCAGUGGGGAAUAUUGGACAAUGGGCGCAAGCCUGAUCCAGCCAUGCCGCGUGAGUGAUGAAGGCCCUAGGGUUGUAAAGCUCUUUUGUGCGGGAAGAUAAUGACGGUACCGCAAGAAUAAGCCCCGGCUAACUUCGUGCCAGCAGCCGCGGUAAUACGAAGGGGGCUAGCGUUGCUCGGAAUCACUGGGCGUAAAGGGUGCGUAGGCGGGUCUUUAAGUCAGGGGCGAAAUCCUGGAGCUCAACUCCAGAACUGCCUUUGAUACUGAGGAUCUUGAGUUCGGGAGAGGUGAGUGGAACUGCGAGUGUAGAGGUGAAAUUCGUAGAUAUUCGCAAGAACACCAGUGGCGAAGGCGGCUCACUGGCCCGAUACUGACGCUGAGGCACGAAAAGCGUGGGGAGCAAACAGGAUUAGAUACCCUGGUAGUCCACGCCGUAAACGAUGAACGGCAGCCGUUAGUGGGUUUACUCACUAGUGGCGCAGCUAACGCUUUAAGCAUUCCGCCUGGGGAGUACGGUCGCAAGAAUUA
rnacentral:rRNA from 1 species